UAAGGUCACGGCGAGAUGAGCCGUUUAUAAUAUAAGACGAUAGGUGUCAAGUGGAAGUACAGUGAUGUAUGCAGCUGAGGCAUCCUAACAGACUGAAAGAUUUGAAC
rnacentral:rRNA from 6 species